rnacentral:rRNA from 1 species
CCGCGGUAAUACAGAGGGUGCGAGCGUUAAUCGGAAUUACUGGGCGUAAAGCGCGCGUAGGUGGUUUGUUAAGUCGGAUGUGAAAUCCCAGGGCUCAACCUUGGAACUGCACCCGAUACUGGCAGGCUAGAGUACGAUAGAGGAGUGUGGAAUUUCCUGUGUAGCGGUGAAAUGCGUAGAUAUAGGAAGGAACAUCAGUGGCGAAGGCGACACUCUGGAUUGAUACUGACACUGAGGUGCGAAAGCGUGGGUAGCAAACAGGAUUAGAUACCCUGGUAGUCCACGCCGU